AACGAACGCUGGCGGCAUGCCUAACACAUGCAAGUCGAACGAGACCUUCGGGUCUAGUGGCGCACGGGUGCGUAACGCGUGGGAAUCUACCCUCAGGUUCGGAAUAACUCAGAGAAAUUUGAGCUAAUACCGGAUGAUGACGUAAGUCCAAAGAUUUAUCGCCUGAGGAUGAGCCCGCGUAGGAUUAGGUAGUUGGUGAGGUAAAGGCUCACCAAGCCGACGAUCCUUAGCUGGUCUGAGAGGAUGAUCAGCCACACUGGGACUGAGACACGGCCCAGACUCCUACGGGAGCCAGCAGUGGGGAAUAUUGGACAAUGGGCGAAAGCCUGAUCCAGCAAUGCCGCGUGAGUGAUGAAGGCCUUAGGGUUGUAAAGCUCUUUUACCCGGGAUGAUAAUGACAGUACCGGGAGAAUAAGCUCCGGCUAACUCCGUG
rnacentral:rRNA from 1 species